AUUGUGACAACCCGAAAAGUUUCUAAAAUCUUGAAUGAUUAGAAUAAAGGUUAAAGAAUAAAACCUAGAUGAGAAUUUGAGAAUUUAUUUAAAAUUUUCAAGAAAAACCUAUAUGGUUUGAUAUUCGAAUGAGAAUAGAGAAAAUAUGGGUUACAAAAUUCCAAAAACCCUAAAAAUGAAUCAAUAUGUACUUGGAGGAAUAUCAAGAAUAAGGUAUUACGAUACCUGUAAAUUCGAUGUGAACUGAAUAGUCUAAGAAAUGUUAUAUAAGUACAUAUGGAAAUUUUACUAUUGAAGAUAAAAUUUCACAGGAAGAGAUGCUAUGUGCUAUAUAUAUAUAUAUAUUUUAGCAAGAGGAAUGAUGAAUCAAGUUAAUGAUCAAG
rnacentral:lncRNA from 1 species